rnacentral:tRNA from 1 species
AUUUUUGUAGCUUAGUUAGCUAGAACACCUGUUUUAUAAAUAGGAGAUCUUAAGUUCAACUCUCAAUGAAAGCA